GUUUUUUAAUUGAAAGCUGGAAUGAAUGGUUGAACGAGAAAAAUACUGUCUCAAUUUAAAUUUAUUAGAAUUUUAUUUUUAAGUUAAAAAGCUUAAAUAAUUUUAAAAGACGAGAAGACCCUAUAGAGUUUUAUAAAUUUUAUUAUUUAAGAUUUUUAGAAUCAUAUGAUUUUUUAUAGUAAAAUUUAUUUUAUUGGGGUGAUAGAAAAAUUUAAUAAACUUUUUUUAAAUUUAAACAUUUAUUUAUGAAUUUUUGAUCCAUUAUUUAUGAUUAUAAGAUUAAAUUACCUUAGGGAUAACAGCGUAAUUUCUUUAAAGAGUUCAAAUCGAAAAAGAAGUUUGCGACCUCGA
rnacentral:rRNA from 1 species